AAUACAUUGACAAAUUGUUUUAGUCCAAACUUGACAGAUCAAUCUAUGUUAUCAGCAUUGAUUUCGGUAGGUGGGAAUUUGAAGGAUAGGUUAAGAUAAGAUCCAUACUGGUUAAGGAAGUACUUUGUGAAGCACUGCAGAGGAGUACUCAUACAAUCAACAGGGUUUUUCGGGCAAAUUUCCCCCGACUGGUACCGGUUCUUUUCCCAAUUGGGCUGGAACAGAUACUUUUCCCAAUUGGGAGAAAUCGCCGGCUUCUGCUGGGGACAGGAUCUAUGUCACCAACAGCAUCCAGGACAAGCUGGCGUUGGAUGGCACCCUGAUAUCAACCUUCACUGACUCUGAACUACAAUAUACAUGAUGCCAGCAUUUAGUUAGUGGAAGUAUCAUAUAGUGCAAAACUGCAAGAAAUCCGAAACAAACGUAACCAAUUAAAUGUUACUUUGGAUGAGCUAUAUUAUUUUGAUUCUGU